UGUCGUGGGGCCUUGCAGGGGGUGGUACUAGAUGAUUCUUGGGGGUCCCCCGUCCAAUGUUACAGUUCUAAAACUGCCCCUCGCUCCCAUGCAUCCCAACUCUUAGCCAGGAAACCUCAUACUCUCGAUAAAACAAGUUGGUAUUUAAAAGCACAGAAUGAGUUGCAUUAAAGCGUAUUUCAUGGUUAAGAGAGGUAGAUCGAUACACAGAGCCAGCCCUUAGGAGGAGAAACCAAACUAUUUCUCUGAGGGGGGAGAUGACAUGGUGGGGUCUCAAUGCCUCUGUGAAAAUCUUGUGGGUUGUGGUUUUCCCCCCAAGAACUGCCAACCAAUUAAAGACUUCUAAAACCAAUGAAAAGGAGAAGAGGACAGCAGAGGAUGAGAUGGUUGGAUGGUGUUCUUGAAGCUACGAACAUGAGUUUGACCAAACUGCAGGAGGCAGCGGAAGACAGGGGUGCCUGGCGUGCUCUGGUCCAGGGGGUCACGAAGAGGCGGACACGACUAAACGACUAAACAACAACAACAAAACCAAUGAACCGUCUAGCAUUUAAAUUACUCAUUUAUGUGUGUCUCUCAUAGACCCUUUCUGAACGUGGGGAGAGGGGGUGUUCAGUUUCUGUAAAGUGUAUCUCUCUUCCAAAGCCACCUUUUAAUAACUUUGCUUUCAUCAAAUUGUAUUUGAGAUUUCGGGGUGUGGGGGCUGCUUCUCCAGCACCUAAACGACUUUACAAAACAAGUUCAAGACCCAUCUGUAUAUUACUUUAAAAUUGACUUGAACCAA